rnacentral:lncRNA from 10 species
UCCCGAGUAGCUGGGACUACAGGCGCCCGCCACCAGGCCCAGCUAAUUUUUUUGUAUUUUUUUUAGUAGAGACAGGGUUUCACCGUGUCAGCCAGGAUGGUCUCGAUCUCCUGACCUCGUGAUCCACCCGCCUCAGCCUCCCAAAGUGUUGGGAUUACAGGCAUGAGCCACUGCGCCUGGCACAACAUUUCUUGAAUGAAUGAAAGGGAGAGUGAAUUGGAGGCUCUGACCUUAUGCACACCAGGAUUCAUUCAAGGAGCUCAGAACAAGGUUUCCCUCCUGAAAAGUCCAUGGUUCUGAGGUGGGCCUCCAGCCUCCCCUGCCCUUCCUCUGCUAUUGGGAUCCCUGAACCAGACGUGGUGCGCACAGGGAAGGCUGGGGCCCUGGUAUGGCAGUGCUGAGCAGGUCUUCAGACAACCCGUGGUUCCAACCCCAGCUCUAUUCCUACUGCCUCGUUAGUAAAACACAAGCAAAAUACCAUCUCCCUCCUUGGGUGGUGACCUUGAGGUGUCAGUGCGAUAAUGCAUCUCAAGUGCUUAGUACUGCCUGACAUAUAGUACAGUUAGAAACUGAUUAUAGAUAGGGAAACUGAGGCACUGGUAAACAUACCAGGGGGCCUGUGGCCUGUGUUUUAGUUACUCCAGGCAAUUCUCUGCCUGCCUCUGGGCCAUCAAUCAUCUAUUCACGCAAUGAGGAAUUGGCCUGAAAAAUGCUAAAGCCUCUUCCAUCUUGGGGCUUUUCUGGUUCUAAACCCAAGCCAGGGCCACCCACUCUUCUAAUACCUUUCAUCCAGCCGGUCCUUGUUCCUUGGCUCUUACCCAAGGAAAAUGCCUUUUUGCCACUCCAAAAUGAACUGCAGCUUUUUGUGCUUAUGAACACAGUAAGAAUAAAACAGCUCCUGAUUGGUUGGAAACAGUGGUUCACAUCUGGAUUAUUUGGAAGGCCAAGGGUGGGAGGAUCACUUGAGCCCAGGAGUUCAAGCAGCCUGUGCAACAUAGAGACCUCAUCUCUACAAAAAAUUAAAAUUAGUUGGGCGGCCAGUCGUGGUGGCUCACGCCUGUAAUCCCAGCACUUCGGGAGGCCGAGGUGGCUGGAUCGCCUGAGGUCAGGUGUUCAAGACCAGCCUGGCCAACAUGGUGAAACUCCAUCUCUACCAAAAAAUACAAAAAUUAGCUGGGCAUGAUGGCAUGCGCCUGUAGUCCCAGCUCCUGGGGAGGCUGAGAUGGGAGACUUGCUUGAACUUGGGACGCAGAGGUUGCAGUGAGCCGAGAUCGUGCCACUGCACUCCAGCCUGGGCAAAAAGAGUGAGACCCUGUCUCAAAAAUAAAUAAAUAUAAAUUAAAAAAAAUUAGUUGGGCAUGGUGGUGUGUACCUGUGGCCUCAGCUACUGGGGAGGUUGAGAUGAAGACUGCUUGGGCCCAGGAAGUUGAGGGUGCAGUGAGCCAAGAUUAUGCCAUGCACUCCAGCCUACAUGACGGGGCAAGAGCUUGUCUCAAACAACAACAAUAAAAAACCCCACCUCCUGCUCCUUGGGCCCUUUUUCUGAAGUCCGCCUUCUGAAUGUCCCCUCAGAAACCCCCACAAUAGUCCUAGGGGAUGAGUGCCUUAGGAUUCCACUUUUCCUGAUGAUGAAAUGGGGACUCAGAGAGGGGAAGGGACUUGCCCUAAGUCCUCUGCUGGAAAACAGGGAGGAGUUGGCUGGGCGCGGUGGCUCAUGCCUAUAAUCCCAGCACUUUGGGAGGCCGAGAUGGGCGGACCACGAGGUCAAGAGAUCGAGACCAUCCUGGCCAACAUGGUGAAAACCCGUCUCUAAAAAUACAAAAAUUAGCUGAGUGUGGUGGCACGCACUUGAAGUCCCAGCUAUUCAGGAGGCUGAAGCAGGAGAAUCAUUUGAACCUGGGAGGUGGAGGUUGCAAUGAGCCGAGAUCUCGCCAUUGCACUCCAGCCUGGCGACAGAGCGAGACUCCAUCUCAAAACAAAAACAAAAAACAAAAAAACAAAACAAAAAAAAACAGGGAGGAGCUGGGAAUUUGAAUCCAUGUCCACCCAACUUCGGCCAGAGGAGAGGGGACAAGCAGCUAGAGCCCAGGCUGGGAGGGAAACUUCUACUUCCAAGCACUAGGGUGCUUGGAAGGCGCAAGAGUGCCAAAGUCAGGGGCAUCCCUGGGGGAAAGGAGGACAAGCAGACACUUGACCUGAUGGGAGCCUUUAUUCACA